rnacentral:tRNA from 1 species
GCCUGGCUGGCUUAGUCCAUGGAGCACGCGACUCUUGAUCUUGGGAUUGUGGGUUCGAGCCCCAUGUUAGGUG